GCCUCGGGAGGCAGCAGUGGGGAAUAUUGCACAAUGGGGGAAACCCUGAUGCAGCAACGCCGCGUGAGUGAAGAAGUAUCUCGGUAUGUAAAGCUCUAUCAGCAGGGAAGAAAAUGGCGGUACCUGACUAAGAAGCCCCGGCUAACUACGUGCCAGCAGCCGCGGCAAUACGUAGGGGGCAAGCGUUAUCCGGAUUUACUGGGUGGAAAGGGAGCGUAGACGGUGGGGCCAGGCUGAA
rnacentral:rRNA from 1 species